rnacentral:rRNA from 1 species
CGAGCGGUAUUUGUUCUUCGGAACAGAGAGAGCGGCGUACGGGUGCGGAACACGUGUGCAACCUGCCUUUAUCUGGGGGAUAGCCUUUCGAAAGGAAGAUUAAUACCCCAUAAUAUAUUGAAUGGCAUCAUUCGAUAUUGAAAACUCCGGUGGAUAGAGAUGGGCACGCGCAAGAUUAGAUAGUUGGUGAGGUAACGGCUCACCAAGUCUGCGAUCUUUAGGGGGCCUGAGAGGGUGAUCCCCCACACUGGUACUGAGACACGGACCAGACUCCUACGGGAGGCAGCAGUGAGGAAUAUUGGACAAUGGGUGAGAGCCUGAUCCAGCCAUCCCGCGUGAAGGACGACGGCCCUAUGGGUUGUAAACUUCUUUUGUAUAGGGAUAAACCUACUCUCGUGAGAGUAGCUGAAGGUACUAUACGAAUAAGCACCGGCUAACUCCGUGCCAGCAGCCGCGGUAAUACGGAGGGUGCAAGCGUUAUCCGGAUUUAUUGGGUUUAAAGGGUCCGUAGGCGGAUCUGUAAGUCAGUGGUGAAAUCUCACAGCUUAACUGUGAAACUGCCAUUGAUACUGCAGGUCUUGAGUGUUAUUGAAGUAGCUGGAAUAAGUAGUGUAGCGGUGAAAUGCAUAGAUAUUACUUAGAACACCAAUUGCGAAGGCAGGUUACUAAGCAACAACUGACGCUGAUGGACGAAAGCGUGGGGAGCGAACAGGAUUAGAUACCCUGGUAGUCCACGCCGUAAACGAUGCUAACUCGUUUUUGGGGCUUCGGCUUCAGAGACUAAGCGAAAGUGAUAAGUUAGCCACCUGGGGAGUACGAACGCAAGUUUGAAACUCAAAGGAAUUGACGGGGGCCCGCACAAGCGGUGGAUUAUGUGGUUUAAUUCGAUGAUACGCGAGGAACCUUACCAAGGCUUAAAUGGGAAAUGACAGGUUUAGAAAUAGACUUUUCUUCGGACAUUUUUCAAGGUGCUGCAUGGUUGUCGUCAGCUCGUGCCGUGAGGUGUUAGGUUAAGUCCUGCAACGAGCGCAACCCCUGUCACUAGUUGCCAUCAUUAAGUUGGGGACUCUAGUGAGACUGCCUACGCAAGUAGAGAGGAAGGUGGGGAUGACGUCAAAUCAUCACGGCCCUUACGCCUUGGGCCACACACGUAAUACAAUGGCCAGUACAGAGGGCAGCUACACAGCGAUGUGAUGCAAAUCUCGAAAGCUGGUCUCAGUUCGGAUUGGAGUCUGCAACUCGACUCUAUGAAGCUGGAAUCGCUAGUAAUCGCGCAUCAGCCAUGGCGCGGUGAAUACGUUCCCGGGCCUUGUACACACCGCCCGUCAAGCCAUGGAAGUCUGGGGUACCUGAAGUCGGUGACCGUAAUAGGAGCUGCCUAGGGUAAAACAGGUAACU